ensembl:snRNA U1 U1 spliceosomal RNA
AUACUUACCUGGUAAGGGAGACAGCAUGAUCAGGAACGUGGUUUUCCCAGGGUGAGGCUCAUUCAUUACACUUGGGAUGUGCUGACCCCUGCGAUUUCCCUAAAUGUGGGAAACCCAACUGCGUAAUUAGUGGUGGUCGGGGGACCGCGUUCAUGCUCUCCCCUG